rnacentral:rRNA from 1 species
AUUGAACGCUAGCGGGAUGCUUUACACAUGCAAGUCGAACGAGUGGCGGACGGGUGAGUAAUAUAUCGGAACGUGCCCAGUAGUGGGGGCUAACUACUCGAAAGAGUGGCUAAUACCGCAUACUAAUGGAUCGGCCGAUAUCGGAUUAGCUAGUUGGUGGGGUAAAGGCUCACCAAGGCAACGAUCCGUAGCUGGUUUGAGAGGACGACCAGCCACACUGGGACUGAGACACGGCCCAGACUCCUACGGGAGGCAGCAGUGGGGAAUUUUGGACAAUGGGGGAACCCCUGAUCCAGCCAUCCCGCGUGUAUGAGAAGGCCUUCGGGUUGUAAAGUACUUUUGGCAGAGAAGCGGUAUCUGCAGAAUAAGCACCGGCUAACUACGUGCCAGCAGCCGCGGUAAUUC